GACGAACGCUGGCGGCGUGCCUAAUACAUGCAAGUUGAGCGCUGAAGGUUGGUACUUGUCCCAACUGGAUGAGCAGCGCACGGGUGAGUAACGCGUGGGGAAUCUGCCUUUGAGCGGGGGACAACAUUUGGAAACGAAUGCUAAUACCGCAUAAAAACUUUAAACACAAGUUUUAAGUUUGAAAGAUGCAAUUGCAUCACUCAAAGAUGAUCCCGCGUUGUAUUAGCUAGUUGGUGAGGUAAAGGCUCACCAAGGCGAUGAUACAUAGCCGACCUGAGAGGGGGAUCGGCCACAUUGGGACUGAGACACGGCCCAAACUCCUACGGGAGGCAGCAGUAGGGAAUCUUCGGCAAUGGACGAAAGUCUGACCGAGCAACGCCGCGUGAGUGAAGAAGGUGUUCGGAUCGUAAAACUCUGUUGGUAGAGAAGAACGUUGGUGAGAGUGGAAAGCGCAUCAAGUGACGGUAACUACCCAGAAAGGGACGGCUAACUACGU
rnacentral:rRNA from 1 species